rnacentral:rRNA from 1 species
AUGUCCAAGCUGUCGCCGUUCAAGAACCCAAAGGCGCCGGUGUUCCCGCGCCUGGCACAGGGCAAGACCCACGACGAGAUGGCUGUGACGUGGACCAGCGGCUACGACCUCGGCGAGGCCUACCCGUUCGUGGAGUGGGGCAUGGUGGCUCCCGGCGGCGGGGUCGGGAGCCCCACCCGCACUCCUGCCGGGACCCUAACCUUCAACCGCGGCAGCAUGUGCGGCGAGCCGGCGCGGUCGAUUGGGUGGAGAGACCCCGGGUUUAUCCACACGGCGUUCAUGAGGGGCCUGUGGCCCAACAAAGAGUACUCGUACAAGAUUGGGCAUGAGCUCUCCGACGGGACGGUGGUGUGGGGCAAGCCCUACACUUUCCGUGCACCGCCGACCCCCGGGCAGAGCUCGCUGCAGCGCAUUAUCAUCUUCGGUGAUAUGGGAAAGGCGGAGAGGGACGGAUCAAAUGAGUACGCCAACUACCAGCCAGGGUCACUCAACACGACGGACACGCUGAUUGAAGAUCUGGACAACUAUGACAUGGUCUUCCACAUCGGCGACUUGCCCUACGCUAACGGGUACAUCUCGCAGUGGGACCAGUUCACCGCGCAGGUCGCCCCCAUCAGUGCCAAGAAGCCCUACAUGAUUGCAAGCGGCAACCACGAGAGGGACUGGCCCAACACUGGUGGAUUCUUCGACGUCAAGUCCUCUGGUGGCGAGUGCGGUGUGCUGGCCGAGACCAUGUACUACUACCCAGCAGAAAACAGAGCAAACUUCUGGUACAAGGUAGACUACGGCAUGUUCCGGUUCUGCGUGGCGGACUCAGAGCAUGACUGGAGGGAGGGGACGCCACAAUACAAGUUCAUCGAGGAGUGCCUCUCCACGGUGGACCGAAAGCACCAGCCGUGGCUCAUCUUCACAGCGCACCGGGUGCUGGGAUACUCCUCCGACACGAAGUAUGCCGCCCAGGGCUCCUUCGAUGAGCCUGAGGGUCGGGAGAGUCUGCAGAAGCUGUGGCAGCGGUACCGCGUCGACCUGGCCAUCUUCGGCCACGUCCACAACUACGAGCGCACAUGCCCCCUCUACCAGAACCAGUGCACGACCAGCGAGCAGAGCCACUACUCGGGCACCAUAAAUGGGACCAUCUUCGUCGUGGCGGGUGGCGGCGGUAGCCACCUCUCGAGCUACACCACCGCCAUCCCCAAGUGGAGCGUGUUCAGGGACCGGGACUACGGCUUCACCAAGCUCACGGCCUUCAACCACUCCUCGCUUCUCUUCGAGUACAAGAGGAGCAGUGACGGCAAGGUCUACGACAACUUCACCAUCCACAGGGACUACCGCGACGUGCUCGGCUGCAUGCACGACAGUUGCUUCCCCACCACACUCGCUACCUGA